CUGUCUUCCUCAAUUAUCACCCUUUAUAAACCACUGGUUUCUCUGCUAGCCUUCCAUUUUCCCCCUCCUCUCUCUUCUUUUGACCUUCUCUCUGUCCUUUCUUCUGACACUUUUUCUAGCCUCUCCUUUGACUCUUGGGCCCUUGAGUUUCCUCCAAUCUUUCCCCUUUUCUGGAUUGGCAUUCGUUCCUCCAACACCCCUGCCCCUCUGUGAUCCAUUCUCUUUUCUCUCACUUUCAAGAUCCUGAGGAUCUUGCUUAGGAUUUUCCUUCUGUUCUCUGUCCCACUGAGAUAAAUAUACUCUUCAGAAUUUCUAGCAUGUUUUACUUUUGAAAAACCUAACAAUAAUAUAGCUGCUGUUUACUCAGCACCUGUUAUGUGCCAAAUAACAAUAUGGAAUUUGCAGGAGUUCCUGUUGUGGCUCAGCGGUAAUGAACUGACUAGUAUCCAUGAGGAUGUGGUUUCCACCCUCGGCCUCAUUCAGUGGGUUAAGGAUCUGGCAUUGCCAUAAGCUGUGGUGUAGGUUGCAGAAACAGCUUGGAUUCUGCAUUGCUGUGUCACAGGCCAGCAGCUACCUCUCUGAUUCGACCCCUAGCCUGGGAACUUCUGUAUGCCGCAAGUGCGGUCCUAAAAAUCAAACAAAGGAAAAAAACCAGGAUGGAAUUUGCAAAUAUUUGGCCCUUUAAUCCUUAUAAUAGCUCUCUGAUUAUAGAAGAGUCAUUUCUAUAGUACAGAGAAAGAAACCUAGACUUAGAAAAAUUGACUAAUUUACCCAAAGCACCAUAUCUAGAAAGUAAGAGAAGAGGUUUGGCCAUGUUAACAUCAAAAAUCUCCCAAGUCUUUAGGUCAAUCCAGCAGCAGCGAUUGUAACUAAGAGACAAGGUAAAGUGUAAGCUUAUUGUUUUUUGUGCCUUAAUGAUUUGGUAAUUUUUACCAUAAGAAGUCAUAUUAUUUAUAUCCAUGAAAAGUGUUGGUCUCAAUUAUUACUGAACAUGGAACUUUUGUUUUUCUCUUUGGUGUUAAUGAAGGGAUGUAUACAGAUAUCAGCUACGGUGUCUUGCUGUACUACUUCAUGUGUCUUUGCUUGAUGGUGAUUCUAAUUUGGACCAGCUGGGGAACUGACUGUAUAGGUCUGGUUGGAAUUCAUUCUACAGUGGAAACAACACAGAACUAGGAAGAAACAGGAUACUUGGAGUCUCCUCUCAGUUUUACUACUUACCAGCUGAGUGACAUGGACCUGAAUUUGCUCAUUUGUAAAACCAAAAUAUUGAACUAGAAUGUUUCAAAAUUCCCUUCUAACUUCUUACAGGAUGAGUUUGACUAAGUUUUUCCUGGACCCUUAAUCAAACUGUUCAGGCAAAUAAAUUCCGCAUGUGCCUAGAAUAGUCAUGAGCCAGCAUCCCCCUGCAUUAAUGGGGAACCUUAGGAACAGGGUGAAAAUGAAUGGUUGUACAUGAUGUGUGUGGGUGGAAAGAUGUUUGGGGGUGUCAACCCCAUUGCCCACUCCAUUAAGCGCCAGCCUUCCUAAUAUAAUUAGUAGAGAAGUCAUAAAGCUGUUAUUAAAGCAAUUGACAGACACUCAAGUAUGAUUUUCACUGAUUCAUGGAGGAUGUUUUAAUUACACCACAGAGGUUGCAAUAGGAAUUAAACUGUAUUUAUUAAGCAGGCAUGUAAUAGAUGUUCCAUGACUGCAUGAUUUAAUAGACAUUAUUGUCUUUUACUGUUUGUAUUAGUUUUUUAUUGUUUCUCUGACAAGUUUUCACAAACUUAUUCCCUGUCUUACAGUUCUGUAGCUUAGAAGUCUGGGAUGGGUCACAUAAGACUAAAAUCAAGAUGUUCUCAAGGCUGCCUUUCUUUCUGGAAACUCUAGGGAGAAUCUGAUUACCUGCCUGUUCUAGCUGGUCAUUGUUCAGCUUAUCACACUGUCCAUUUUUUUUCCCCUGGGUUUAAAAGUUUGUUAUGAACAGGAACACUUUAUGAAUCUAUAGUGAGUGAGCUUAUUAGACUCGGGCAUCAAUUUCUAUCAAGAAGCUUUGAUAGAUAACCUUGCAAGGAAAGUAGAUACCAACAUAGGGAUGAAGAACCAUUCCUUUUUACUGCUAAUUAAGUUGAAUUCACCAGUAAUUUUUUUUUUUUAAAUUAAGGAUUUGUACAUAUUUCAAAAGAGCCUUCAGGUUAUCUUUGUAGGACAGAGAUACCAAUACUUUUAACACUGUUGGGUUAAGAUCAUUCUUCAACCACCUUUGAAAUUCACAAGAUUUAUUCCUUUACUUAGAAUAUCAAUCAACAGCCUACUAAAGAACUCAUAUUUUAGCAGUUACCUGCAAGAAUUUCAGUAUGCCACCUUAUGAAUUUUUUACCAUAGCACUGCAUGUGAGCAUAAAUAAAACUAAAUAGUAUUGGUAUUAUUCAGCAUUAUGAAUAAGGGAACUGAUUGACAGUAAAAAAAUCAAGAAUGAUUAACUCCAACUCUUAAUGGCUUUGGAGCAGCUGGUGCGAAAAAUCAAUAUACAAAAGUCAAAGAAUGUCAAUAUGUUUAUUUUCCCUAUGAAAAUUCUCUAGGAGUUCUGCUGGGUUUCUUACUGCUCUUGUCUUUCAAAUGCCAACUGAAAAAUAGCUGUCAUUUUUAUCUUCAUGUCAGGUCAACUGAAAGGAAAUGCCAAAAUGGAAAACAAAUAUCUAAUAGCAUCUAGAAAACUACUGCAUGUUAUUUUCUUAUAUCUUUAAAUUUGAGACUAAAAAUAAAUCCUUAUUUCUACAGUAAAUUAGGUCAUUUUUCAACACAUGUAAUUAAAUGUUGUAAGAAAAUUAUUUUAUUUUAAAUGACCUUAAAAUAACAUUUACCAGGGGUGAAUAAGGAAGGAAAAAAUGCAGUUUUUAUUAUUCAUUUUCAUUUUUAUGACAGAAGUCUCUGUGCAAGAGCCCACUUUCAAUUUUUUUUAAAAAGGGAAGAAAUUACAUAUGCAUUUCAACAGCUCUAACCACUCACUCUAGUCUUCCUUCUGCUUCUCUGUUCUAUAAAUAUAUUUUUUUAUUGUGAAUGUAUUGUUUGUAUAGUCAAAUUACUAAAGAAAUACCUGUAACAUUAAUCAUCACCUCUGAAGAAGGUUGGAUAGCACAUAUUUUUAUGAGUCCAUCCUAUGAAAAGGUAAUCUAAGGCAUUGGUUACCAUUUCACAGGUCAUUCUUUGACAAGAUAUUAUGAGUCCAGAAAUGCCAACUAUCAGACCCUUAUCUUUAGUCUCAAGAUGAAUCCACUUGCCACAAUGCUACCUGAGCACCCCAAGAUGAUGUGCCUAUGUGCAAAAAGUUAUAUAAUCAAAAUACAUUUCAACUGGCUUCCAUAUGGUGACCAGUUGGUGACAAAAUAAAACUGCAUGUGGUUAUAUGCACAAGCUGUCUGGAUGUUAUAAAAAGAAAAUUUUGACCAAAAUGAUUAAAUCAGGAUGUAUGUUAAACACAAUGGUUAAAUUCAAAGAACAAAUUAAGUGUCCCUCCCAUGAGCAAAAUCUGGAAAAACAAAGGAGCAAGUUGCCACAGGCGUUUACAGACCAAAAUAUGUCUAAAGCAGUUAUCCCAUUGCCAUAUGUACACAUAAAUUUUGUGCCUUUUGCUUUUCAAUUCUAUUUUUCUUUCUAUAUUUCUGUAUUCUAAGAGAGCUAGUGGAGUCUGUCCACUUGGCAGAGUUGGGAGCAUAUCAAAACUACUCUCUAUGAGGGGAUGAAACGAAGUUUCCAGAAGAAUUUCCACUAUUCGAAAAAAAAAAAAAAAAAAAAAAAAA
rnacentral:lncRNA from 1 species